rnacentral:lncRNA from 1 species
CGUUCGUUCGUUCGUUCGUUCGUGACGUCCGUCCGUCUGUCCCGCUUCAGGUUAAAGUUUUUGGUCGAGGUAGUUUUUGAUGAAGUUGAAGUCCAAUCAAUUCGAAACUUAGUAAGUAUAGUGUCGAGGUGGCAUCUGUGUACUAUGGACACAUUCUUGUUUCCACAUGUUUUACUUAUUUUAAUAUAUAGGCAACUGGUAUGACC